rnacentral:rRNA from 1 species
UACAGAGGGUGCGAGCGUUAAUCGGAAUUACUGGGCGUAAAGCGUGCGUAGACGGUUAUUUAAGUCGGGUGUGAAAGCCCCGGGCUCAACCUGGGAAUUGCAUUCGAGACUGAAUAGCUAGGGUACGGUAGAGGGAAGUGGAAUUUCCGGUGUAGCGGUGAAAUGCGUAGAUAUCCGAAGGAACAUCAGUGGCGAAAGCGGCUUCCUGGACCAGAACUGACGAUCAGGCACGAAAGCGUGGGGAGCAAACAGG